AUCGCUUCUCGGCCUUUUGGCUAAGAUCAAGUGUGUGGAUUAGCAUGCACCAUGUGUGUUAUUGUUGAUUAGUUUAAAACCCCACAAAAAAGGAAAAUACAUGCAUUUUUUCCUAAAAGUCUGUUAUUAAAUUAAUAAUGCAGCUUUUGUUUGAUGGUGUCUUUGGACACCACUAGAACAGUGCAU